AACAUCAUCUAUACAUCUCCGCAGAGUGUGCAUGAAGAACCAGGAAAACAUAAUCUAUACAUCUCCACAGAGUGUGCAUGAAGACAGAAUCAAAACCAAAGAUUGAUCAGGAAGUUCAUAAUUCCCGCACGGCAGGAUCAUUGACUACAGAAUACUCAGCUGUAUUGUGACACAACAGGACGCACUCCAACCUCUGAUUAAGAAUCGUGAACAAAUGGGUCAUUUUGUUAUGAACAAGCCAGAAGACAAUCAAAUAACUGGCCAAGUGGAAGUGGCUCAAGUGUUGGUACCAACUACAGAUGAACAUAUAGAUGAAGAGUCAGACGUCAACAUGGACGAUGACCAGUCGACGUUGUACCAACCAUAUUUUCCAGACCAUUGAACCAGUCAUGUGACACCACACUGAGAAAGGGGAUGCAAAGCAGUGGUUUGUACCAAAAGCCCCCUCUGGAUUGUGAUCUG